GUUACUUAUGGAAAUAUUCAUGAUUACAAUUUUGGUUACAUCAUGAGAUUGUAUGCAAGACGUUGCUUUUCAUAUUCUUCUUAUGCAAAACAUCCUCCUUUGCUAUUUCCCUCCACAGCCGAAAGUUUGAAACGAUUCGAUGCUUCUGAUUGGUUAUCCUGUCGCUUCUACAUUUGCAGCCAAUUCUGCUAAUUAACUUGCCGGAGCGGUCUGAGUUUCUGUUGCAGGCAAUGACAGACAAGGAAAGGAAUGCAUUCCAUUGCUGGAAAUAUAAAAAACAUUUCCAAUACAUUACGGAAAAAGGCACAAAUUUAACUGUGCAAUGCAGUGCGUAUUUACCAGCUGUAAAGAUGUUGUCCACAUCUAAACAGUCCAUGUCCAACCUAAGGAAACAUCUAGAGGUAAGUGCAGCUUAUUGUAACUGCAAACAGUCAUAUUAAACAAAGCAGGGAAGACAUGCCUACCUUCAGCGUGCCACACGUGCUUCUGAAGUGUAAUCCCCCAUACACACUGUGUGUCAUGACCUGCUCGUCCGAUCCUCCUGUGUGCCACGCCCCCCUCGUUACCUCGUGUUAAUUCCCGACCCAGCCCGCCACGGCGCAGCCACUGCCACCAGCCUCACACCAGAGGAAGAAGAGGCCAGAGGAAGCCCUACCAAUUAACCUGGAAACCACUUCUCUCUCUCUCCAGCUUCUUUUUUUUAGGAGGAACCCCUCCAAAUUAUGGAACCGUGGAAGUUCGCUCCGGACGUCACCACCGCUUCCAGCCUGCAGGAUCUGAACUCACAAGAAGAUGCAAGUCCUUCAGAACAAUGGUCAGAAGUCAUUUUUAAAGAGAGAUCACACAUUCUGGAAGUCUCCAUGGAAGAAGCUGUAUUAAUGCCCACCUUUGUGAACAGAUGACACUUCCAGAAACCACUAAUGCAUCCGCUGUUGAUGAAUUGGGGAUGAAUCUGCCCAUCCCUUAGAAAUCUUACCC